rnacentral:rRNA from 1 species
GGAAGUAAAAGUCGUAACAAGGUUUCCGUAGGUGAACCUGCGGAAGGAUCAUUAAAGAGUAAGGGUGCUCAGCGCCCGACCUCCAACCCUUUGUUGUUAAAACUACCUUGUUGCUUUGGCGGGACCGCUCGGUCUCGAGCCGCUGGGGAUUCGUCCCAGGCGAGCGCCCGCCAGAGUUAAACCAAACUCUUGUUAUUUAACCGGUCGUCUGAGUUAAAAUUUUGAAUAAAUCAAAACUUUCAACAACGGAUCUCUUGGUUCUCGCAUCGAUGAAGAACGCAGCGAAAUGCGAUAAGUAAUGUGAAUUGCAGAAUUCAGUGAAUCAUCGAAUCUUUGAACGCACAUUGCGCCCCUUGGUAUUCCGAGGGGCAUGCCUGUUCGAGCGUCAUUACACCACUCAAGCUAUGCUUGGUAUUGGGCGUCGUCCUUAGUUGGGCGCACCUUAAAGACCUCGGCGAGGCCACUCCGGCUUUAGGCGUAGUAGAAUUUAUUCGAACGUCUGUCAAAGGAGAGGAACUCUGCCGACUGAAACCUUUAUUUUUCUAGGUUGACCUCGGAUCAGGUAGGGAUACCCGCUGAACUUAAGCAUAUCAAUAAGCGGAGGA